rnacentral:rRNA from 1 species
AGUCGAGGGGUAUGGUUCUUCGGAACCAGAGACCGGCGCACGGGUGCGUAACGCGUAUGCAAUCUGCCUUUCACAGAGGGAUAGCCCAGAGAAAUUUGGAUUAAUACCUCAUAGUAUAGCGACAUCGCAUGAUGAUGCUAUUAAAGUCACAACGGUGAAAGAUGAGCAUGCGUCCCAUUAGCUAGUUGGUAAGGUAACGGCUUACCAAGGCGACGAUGGGUAGGGGUCCUGAGAGGGAGAUCCCCCACACUGGUACUGAGACACGGACCAGACUCCUACGGGAGGCAGCAGUGAGGAAUAUUGGUCAAUGGGCGCAAGCCUGAACCAGCCAUGCCGCGUGCAGGAUGACGGUCCUAUGGAUUGUAAACUGCUUUUGCACAGGAAGAAACACUGAUUCGUGAAUCAGCUUGACGGUACUGUGAGAAUAAGGAUCGGCUAACUCCGUGCCAGCAGCCGCGGUAAUACGGAGGAUCCAAGCGUUAUCCGGAAUCAUUGGGUUUAGAGGGUCCGUAGGCGGUCUGGUAAGUCAGUGGUGAAAGCCCAUCGCUCAACGGUGGAACGGCCAUUGAUACUGCUGGACUUGAAUUAUUAGGAAGUAACUAGAAUAUGUAGUGUAGCGGUGAAAUGCUUAGAGAUUACAUGGAAUACCAAUUGCGAAGGCAGGUUACUACUAAUGGAUUGACGCUGAUGGACGAAAGCGUGGGUAGCGAACAGGAUUAGAUACCCUGGUAGUCCACGCCGUAAACGAUGGAUACUAGCUGUUGGAAGCAAUUUCAGUGGCUAAGCGAAAGUGAUAAGUAUCCCACCU